rnacentral:rRNA from 1 species
AUUGAACGCUGGCGGCAGGCCUAACACAUGCAAGUCGAACGGUAACAGGAAGCUGCUUGCUUCUUUGCUGACGAGUGGCGGGCGGGUGAGCUAUGUCUGGGCAACUGCCUGAUGGAGGGGGACAACUACUGGAAACGGUUGCUACUACCGCAUAACGUCGCAAGACCAAAGAGGGGGACCUUCGGGCCUCUUGCCAUAGGCUGUGCCCAGGUGGGAUUAGCUAGUUGGUGGGGUAACGGCCCACCUAGGCGACGAUCUGUACCUGGUCUGAGAGGAUGAACAGCCACACUGGAACUGAGACACGGUCCAGACUCCUACGGGAGGCAGCAGUGGGGAAUAUUGCACAAUGGGCGCAAGCCUGAUGCAGCCAUGCCGCGUGUAUGAAGAAGGCCUUCGGAUUGUAAAGUACUUUAAGCGGGGAGGAAGGGAAUAAAGUUAAUACCUUGCCGCAUUGACGUUACCCGCAGAAGAAGCACCGGCUAACUCCGUG